rnacentral:rRNA from 1 species
GAUGAACGCUGGCGGCGUGCCUAAUACAUGCAAGUCGAGCGAACAGACGAGGAGCUUGCGCCUCUGACGUUAGCGGCGGACGGGUGAGUAACACGUGGAUAACCUACCUAUAAGACUGGGAUAACUUCGGGAAAACGGAUAUAAUACCGGCUCAUAUAUUGAACCGCAUGGAUCAAUAGGGAAUGAGGGCUUUGCUGUCUCUUUGAGAUGGAUCCGCGCCGGAUUAGCUAGUUGGUAAGGUAACGGCUCACCAAGGCGACGAUGCGUAGCUGAGCUGAGAGGAUGAUCGGCCACACUGGAACUGAGACACGGUCCAGACUCCUACGGGAGGCAGCAGUGGGGAAUAUUGGACAAUGGGCGAAAGCCUGACCGAGCAAUACCGCGUGGGUGAAGAAGGUCUUCGGGUCGUAAAGCCCUGUUAUUGGGAAAGAAAAGCUGUAGGUGAAUCCCUGGCCGUUUUGACGGUACCCAAAGAAUAAGCACCGGCUAACUUCGUG